rnacentral:rRNA from 1 species
UAGGGAAUAUUAGUAAUGGGCGAAAGCCUGAACUAGCAACGCCGCGUGUGCGAAGAAGGCCUUCGGGUUGUAAAGCACUUUUUGAGAGGAUGAGGAAGGACGGUACUCUCAGAAUAAGUCUCGGCUAACUACGUGCCAGCAGCCGCGGUAACACGUAGGAGGCGAACGUUAUCCGGAUUUACUGGGCGUAAAGCGCGUGUAGGUGGUUUGGUAAGUAGGGCGUGAAAGCUCCUGGCUCAACUGGGAGAGGCCGUUCUAAACUGCCGAACUAGAGGAUGGUAGAGGGAGGUGGAAUUCCGGGUGUAGCGGUGGAAUGCGCAGAUAUCCGGAGGAACACCAGUGGCGAAAGCGGCCUCCUGGACCACUCCUGACACUCAGGCGCGAAAGCUAGGGUAGCAAACGGG